CAAAACUAAUAAAUAAGAGGUCCCGCCUGCCCUGUGACUAUAUGUUUAACGGCCGCGGUAUUUUGACCGUGCAAAGGUAGCGCAAUCACUUGUCUUUUAAAUGGAGACCCGUAUGAAUGGCACAACGAGGGCUUAACUGUCUCUUCUUUCAAGUCAAUGAAAUUGAUCUCCCCGUGCAGAAGCGGGGAUGCACACAUAAGACGAGAAGACCCUGUGGAGCUUUAGGCACCAAAGCAGAAUAUGUAAAGUACCCUAGACUAACAGCCAAAACAGCUUAUAACCUGCCCUAAUGCCUUCGGUUGGGGCGACCGCGGGGAAAUAAAGAACCCCCAUGUAGAAUGGGAGCACAGCUCCUACAGCUUAGAGCCCCCGCUCUAAUCAACAGAAUUUCUGACUAAUAAGAUCCGGCAAUGCCGAUCAACGGACCAAGUUACCCCAGGGAUAACAGCGCAAUCCCCUUUUAAAGCCCAUAUCGACAAGGGGGUUUACGACCUCGAUGUUGGAUCAGGACAUCCUAAUGGUGCAGCCGCUGUUGAGGG
rnacentral:rRNA from 1 species